GCGGCAAUAGCUCAGUGGUAGAGCCCCGCUUCGCGUGCCGGGAGGCCCGGGUUCGAUUCCCGGCUGCUUCC
rfam:Toxocara canis scaffold291, whole genome shotgun sequence.